GCGGCGGCGGCGGCGCGGGCAGGUGCGGGCCGUGGGGCGCGGCGUGGGGCGCGCCGACGCCCAGGAAGGAGCGCAUGUUGAGCAGGGAGCCCUGCGUGAGGAACGCGCCGUUGGUCCAGUUGGAGAACUUGCCGAUGUGGCAGGUGUACAGUCCGUGGCUGGGCAGGAAGGCGGGGUGCUGCAGCGGCGCGCCCGCGGGGGGCCCGUGCGCGCCGGGAUGGCCUGCGGGCGGCGGCGGCGAGGCCUUGGGCGCGCCGUCGGGGCUGGUGGCCGUUUCGGCCAGGGACCAGAUCUUGGGCUUGCUGUGAGGCGCGCCCUGCAGGCCACCCGACGCGGCGCCAGGACUCAGCAGGC
rnacentral:lncRNA from 1 species